rnacentral:rRNA from 1 species
GACGAACGCUGGCGGCGUGCUUAACACAUGCAAGUCGAACGGAAAGGCCUCUUUCGGGGGGUACUCGAGUGGCGAACGGGUGAGUAACACGUGAGUAACCUGCCCUUGACUUUGGGAUAACUUCAGGAAACUGGGGCUAAUACCGGAUAGGAGCUCCUGCUGCAUGGUGGGGGUUGGAAAGUUUCGGCGGUUGGGGGUGGACUCGCGGCUUAUCAGCUUGUUGGUGGGGUGGUGGCUUACCAAGGCUUUGACGGGUAGCCGGCCUGAGAGGGUGACCGGCCACAUUGGGACUGAGAGACGGCCCAGACUCCGACGGGAGGCAGCAGGGGGGAAUAUUGCACAAUGGGUGGAAGCCUGAUGCAGCAACGCCGUGUGCGGGAUGACGGCCUUCGGGUUGUAAACCGCUUUCGCUCAUGACGAAGCUUUGUGUGACGGUAGUGGGUAAAGAAGCACCGGCUAACUACGUG